rnacentral:snRNA from 1 species
CGACUGUGUUCUGCUGUC